GCACACACAGCAAAACCAAGUCCCGGCCAUCCUACCCUGCACAGAGCAGCCUACACAGCUUCUCUUUCACAGACCUGAGCAGGGAGGGGUUGUCCCUGUUGAAGGACAGGGAUUUUAGCAUGAAUAUUGAAUGAGGAAGGCAGCUGGGACACUUGGCUAAUGUAAUAUCUCGACCUCUCGUCUCAUGCUAAAGGGAAUUCGCCCUCCCCUAAUGCAUGUCUGUAAUCGGUCUCAGUCUCUCCAGCAGCACAUUCUACACAGAUCACGCCAGUUCAGGGAGCCUGGAUUUCCCAGCCCUCAGAGGAAAGUAAGGUCCUUCACGCCGACAGAAAGCCACUGGGUAUCGCUGUGAUGUUACCACCGUCUCCUACGCACCCUCUAAGUUCUCUCCAUCUGAGCUCACUGAUGGAUCAGCCUUGCUGAUGUCAUCAGAGUAAUCAUUUACUGCUCUACCGUUCGAUCGGACACAACCAUAUGCAUGAUAUGUAACAUAUACUACGUAUACUACAUCUUUAUUCUACCCUCCGAUGUUUCCCAAUUUGAAAAAAAGAUACUCGGAUUCACUAUCGUGCCUGAGUUUACUUAAACCACUUGGACAGACAGAGGAUUUUUUUUUUUAUCAUGGGGGUGUGUGUUAUCCUAUUUGCUAUGUUUCUAAAAAUCCUUGAAGAUCAAUGUUACCCACUAAUCUAUAUAAAAUUUUGAUGCUAAAUACUUUUCUUCCUGCUAUCAGGAGCAAGACAAGAACAUUGCUUUCUAUAAAUGUGUCAGGAUGGAGAGGAAGCGGUAACACUGUGCUCCUCCAUAGAUCAUGCCCUAUUGCACGGAGGAAAUCUCAAAGAAGCCAUCAGCCUACCUACUCAGGAUCCAAAGACAAGAGUCAAUAGAACAGUAGCAGCAAGAAAGCUACUGUUAAAAGUGGCAGCCGUUAAACACUGCACAACACUGAUGCAAAGAAUGAAAGACAAUCUAAAGGCAAAGAUGACAUUCUGCGUCUAAGAUACUCGCUCCAUAUCUGUGAACUAGAAGCUCACUCUUGCUGUCUUAAGAUAAAAACUGUCCUCACGUGAGAAGUCAACACAUGUCUACCAAAUCCUAACAGCCUCUCCCCUCAACCUCUCCCCUUCUCAACAAGUUUUUCCUAAAUUUUAUACGGAAAUUCAAAGGACCUAGAAAAGCCACCUUUAAAAAUACUAAUUGGUUCAUUAGUUUGUUUAUUUAGGGACAGAGUCUCUCACAUCCUAGGCUGGCCUCAAACUUGAUAUGUAGCCAGGCUAUGUGAUGAAACCCUGCCUCAAAACACCGAAAAAUAAAAUAAAAUAAUUGUGCUAUACGUAGGAUAUUUUUCUUUCCCUAUUGUUGUGGUUUGAAUAAGAAUGGUCUCCAGGGACUCAAAUACUUGGAUGCUUAGUC
rnacentral:lncRNA from 1 species